rnacentral:lncRNA from 1 species
UUUUUCUCUUCAAAAAUAAUCAGAACUUUUGUAUGAAGAGAUAUAAAUUUUUUGAGAAUGUAGGCAAGGAGAGUAUGAUUUUCUUUUCACUGAAUUGGUAAAAACCAAAUGAAUGAAAUACUCCCUAUUUAUAGGAUUUUUGAAGUUGGGGUAAAAUAGUAAUUUCAAAAACUGAUUUUUGAAUGUGCGGUUAUGAUCAAUUAAUUUUGAAUUUAACGGACCAGAUCAAACGCGGAAGUUGAGCAAGAAAACCGCCUAGGCAAUUUUCUAUCUACUUCUCAUUUAUUACUUUUGACCAUGUGUUUUAUUCUAAUGCCAGCAAGCCUUACACGGAUUUCCCAAAAUGAAGUCACGGUUUUAUCAAACAUGUAGCUUACGUUUUUUUUUAACCAAG